rfam:Schistosoma haematobium scaffold650_5, whole genome shotgun sequence.
AUCCAAAUGAUGAGUCCUAAAUAAAACGAAACCUAUGUCCUGGAU